rnacentral:rRNA from 1 species
UUGGAGGGCAAGUCUGGUGCCAGCAGCCGCGGUAAUUCCAGCUCCAAUAGCGUAUGUUAAAGUUGUUGCAGUUAAAAAGCUCGUAGUUGAAUUUCGGAGUUAGCAGGUUGGUCGUGCCACUGGUAUGAACUGGCCUUGCUGAUUCCUCCCUCUUGAUGAGCCGUAAUGCCAUUAAUUUGGUGUUGCGAGGAAUCAGGACUGUUACUUUGAAAAAAUUAGAGUGUUUAAAGCAGGCAAGCGCUUGAAUACAUUAGCAUGGAAUAAUGAAAUAGGACGUUUGAUCUUAUUUUGUUGGUUUCUAAGAUUGACGUAAUGAUUAAUAGGGAUAGUUGGGGGCAUUAGUAUUCAAUUGUCAGAGGUGAAAUUCUUGGAUUUAUUGAAGACUAACUACUGCGAAAGCAUUUGCCAAGGAUGUUUUCAUUAAUCAAGAACGAAAGUUAGGGGAUCGAAGACGAUCAGAUACCGUCGUAGUCUUAACCAUAAACUAUGCCGACUAGGGAUCGGAUGAUGUUAAUUUUUUAAUGACUCAUUCGGCGCCUUACGGGAAAC